AACGAACGCUGGCGGCAUGCCUAACACAUGCAAGUCGAACGAGCCCUUCGGGUCUAGUGGCGCACGGGUGCGUAACGCGUGGGAACCUGCCCUUAGGUUCGGAAUACCUCCCCGAAAGGGGUGCUAAUACCGGAUAAUGUCUUCGGACCAAAGAUUUAUCGCCUUUGGAUGGGCCAGCGUUGGAUUAGCUGGUUGGUAGGGUAACAGCCUACCACGGCGCCGAUCCAUAGCUGGUCUGAGAGGAUGAUCAGCCACACUGGGACUGGGACACGGCCCAGACUCCUACGGGAGGCAGCAGUGGGGAAUAGUGGACAAUGGGCGAAAGCCUGAUGCAGCUAUGCCGCGUGAGUGAUGAAGGCCGUAGGGUUGUAAAGCUCUUUUACCCGGGAUGAUAAUGACAGUACCGGGAGAAUAAGCCCCGGCUAACUCCGUG
rnacentral:rRNA from 1 species